rnacentral:tRNA from 1 species
GCGACGUUAGCUCAGUUGGAUAGAGCAGCGGUCUUCUAAACCGCAGGUCGGGGGUUCGAUCCCCUCACGUCGCGCCA